GCCAGAGCACACAGGAUAAGGAGGUGCCUGGAGAAUUCUGUCCCUGGAGAGACACAUAUGACAUUACUUCUCUCCCCUAUAAAGUUCUAACAAUACCUGAGUAUCAUUCCACCCAGAUUCACCCUGGGAACCAUUGGGUUUACUGGGCUUGCUCACAGAGCUUGAGGUAGGACUCUACCGACCAGAAUGUGGGGACCCUAGAGCAGCCACAGUGUAAGGUCUGGACCCAGUGUGGAUAAUGGUUUCCCUAUAACUGCACAGAUGGAGCAGACUUAACACCCCUCAAUUACCAUUCCCUAGCCCGUCUGUCCCAACGGCUCCAGAGACACAAAGCCUGAAUGGGUUUAAGGGAUGUCAUAGAAAUGGCUGAGAGGAGCAGGAGAGAGAAGCAGGAAUCUUAGGUGAGGGUCCGGUGACCUUCUCUGAGGGGAUAGCAGCUGUCAACAAGCGCACUAGGGGUGGCCCCUUGCAAAAAGCUGAUGUGACAAAGAGCCAUGUCCUACAGCAGGAAGUUCCAGGCUUGAAAGCCAGAGCACUGUCCCUGAUGAGCCUGUGUGGGCACAGAAGGAUCGGAGAGGCUAUACACACACACACACACACACACACACACACACACACACACACACACACACGUCACAACACUGUCCCUGGUGAGCCUGAGCUUGGCCCAGUUGGGCAGGGACCAUAAGGGAGGCACAGGGCUAUGCACGUGUACACUGAAACUCACAGAUGAUAUGGAGCCAAGAGUGGACCAGGAGCCAGCAGCUCCACCUUCUAGAAACCAAGGAAAAGGCCAAGAGCAAGCAAUGAAGGAAUCAAGAUGACCAAGUUGAAAUAUAGGAGAGGACUAUUUCUCUAUGUUGACAAACUGUGCAGCAACAGAGUCUGUUCAUUGGGCUGGAAUCUCGAUCCACUGGUGGCUUCAACCAGACUCCAGAAUGGGAGAGGUAGGCCUGGGCCGGGACUUGUCUCUUGCUACUGAGAGGUGA